GAUGAACGCUGGCGGCGUGCCUAAUACAUGCAAGUCGAACGGACGAACGAGUACCUUUCUGCUCGGAGUUUAUCGGCGGCCGGGGGGGGAACACGACGAUAGCCUACCGAUCCGACUUUGAUGACAUCGGCAAACCAGAGCUGAUACCACAUGAUAUUUUGAACCUCAUGCAUGAAAAGUCUGAGACGGUCUUGCUUUCGCUUAUAGAUGGGUUCGCGCUGCAUUAGCUAGUUGGUAAGGUAACGGCUUACCAAGGCAACGAUGACUAGCCGGCCUGAGAGGGUGGUGGGCGAUCACGGAACGGCGACGCGGUGCAGACGCCUACGGGAGGCAGCAGUAGGGAAGCUUCCGGAAUGGGGGAAAGAAUGACGGAGCAGCGACGCGUGAGGGAUGAAGGUGGUCGGAUCGUAGAGAUCUGUUAUUAGGGAAGAACCUAUGUGUAAGUAACUGUGCAUAUCUUGACGGUAGCUAGUCAGAAAGCGACGGCUAACUACGUG
rnacentral:rRNA from 1 species